GACGCAGCGACGCCGCGUGAGGGAUGACGGCCUUCGGGUUGUAAACCUCUUUCAGCGCCGACGAAGGGUUUCUGACGGUAGGCGCAGAAGAAGCACCGGCUAACUACGUGCCAGCAGCCGCGGUAAUACGUAGGGUGCGAGCGUUGUCCGGAAUUAUUGGGCGUAAAGAGCUCGUAGGCGGUUUGUCGCGCCGGAUGUGAAAACCCGAGGCUCAACUUCGGGCUGGCAUCCGGGACGGGCAGACUGGAGUUCGGCAGGGGAGACUGGAAUUCCUGGUGUAGCGGUGAAAUGCGCAGAUAUCAGGAGGAACACCGGUGGCGAAGGCGGGUCUCUGGGCCGAUACUGACGCUGAGGAGCGAAAGCGUGGGGAGCGAACAGGAUUAGAUACCCUGGUAGUCCACGCCGUAAACGUUGGGCGCUAGGUGUGGGGGGCAUUCCACGUCCUCUGCGCCGCAGCUAACGCAUUAAGCGCCCCGCCUGGGGAGUAC
rnacentral:rRNA from 1 species